ensembl:lncRNA
UUUUACUAGGUAAAUUCCAUAUUCAUAAAGCUACAUUUUCCAAAUCAAGACCAUGUUUAAAAUUUUUCCAAAUUGAAACUGAUAUAUAUUUUGAGUCUCUUAAAUUUGUAAAAAAUAAGAAAGCUGUGUCAGUAAUUGAUAUAUACUCAAAACUUUUCAAUUGAAAAUAGAAAUUCCUUUUAUUUAUUUUUAUUAAAAAAUGAAGUCUGUAAGUCUGUUUUUUUAUGUGUAAUAUUUGUUUACGAACUGUGAUGCCUGUAUGUUUGUAAUUUGAAUUACUAUGAUGUUUGUAUGAUUGUUAAUUGAACUCUAAUAAAAAGCAUUUCUCUCGGAAAAGCUCGCCUGCGCACACGUCAACCAGAGGAGAGCGAGACCGCCCUCAUCAACGCGCUGACAUCCUGCUGACUUCAUUUCCAACCCUGCUCCAACACACCUGUCUGUAAUUAUCAAGUAGCCUUGAACACCGUAGUAGCUAGCUGUGUCCCACACUUAAGUGCAUGGACUCCGAAGUGCGCAUUUGAAGUGCGAAUGCGUCACAGUUGCGCGACGAAGGGUGUCCCAAACUGAAGCGUGUGGACUCCGAAAACCGCAUUUGAAGUACGAAUGCGUCACCUCGGCGCGACGAAGGCUGACGGAUUUCGAAAGCGACUUCAAAUGCGCCCUUCAUUUCCCAUGAAAAUGAAGUGUACAUCUUAUGGACACUUCACACCCUACCAUAUCCCAGAAUCACUUGCGUGCAUAUGAUGACGGUGGCAGGGGAGAGUUCUGUGGAGGACUUCACAUUGAAAUGCAUGGUUUAUUUGUGAAGUGUCCUGAGACAGGUGAGGGAGCGAGUGGACAGGGAGGACAUCAAACUCAAACAAAUACAUUCUUCAUUAGCCAAGAGAAAACAGAGUACAUUACAGUUUUUCCAAUAUAUUUUUUAAAUGUCAUAUUGUCAAUGAAACAACCUAAUUUCUGUAGUUUAUUUUUGUGAUGCAAGUUAAAAAUGAAAUGUAUAAAUUGUAUACAUUAAUCAUUUUUUGUGUGUGUAAUUUAUUCGUAAAUAAGCCUGAGUACUUUCUGUACAUUUUGUAUUUUUGUUUUGCAUAUUCACGUGUAAAUAAAAGAAAAGUGCUUAUGUACAUUAAUUUUUUUUUCAUGUAGUUUAUAAUUUUUUUCACAAAACGUUCUUUUAUAUGUUUAUUUGUUUGUCCUGUAAAUACUUUUUUACACAUUAAAACAAAUUGUUCUAUACAUAAUAGAAAGUAGUUUUUACAAUCAUUUACAACAUAGCUUAGGUUUAACAUCAGCAAAACAACAUCAGUUUGAGCCCGGCCCUGCCUCCGUGUGUUCUGGGGUCUUCAGGAGGUGAAUCUCUUGGUGAAUGGCCAGCACCUCCUCAGAGACUAGGAGGACAAUGCGGUGACAGUGGAACGAGGGACAUGUCAAACACUCUGGAGAUCAUCUGUAUGAUGUACCGCUGGCAGACAGAAGAGAAACACCAGGGUCUGGAUCAUGGCACACCAUCACUGUUGCCGUUCACUUCCCAGUAGAUCCAGCAGCACUGUCAGGGUCUCCCUGCUCAGAACAAAACCAUUCAACACCUGUCCAGCGCUGCCACAUUCAGCUUUAUGCUGCAGUACAGGGGUCUGCUCUGAUUUAGGGAAAGAAGGAAAAGAGAAAUUGUUUAGAGCUAUGACAACGUAAUUAGUACAAGACAUACUGACAUACUUUAGUAAACUACUUUUAGUAACUACCAAUACCAUAUUGGGGAAAAACUACUACUCAUAUUUAAAACUUUAGCUGAAGGGAUAGUUCACCCAAAAAUAUAAAUUACAAACCUGGAGCAACUGAAGGGUAAGUAAAUGAUUACACAAUUUUCAUUUUUGGCUGAAUUAUCCUUUAAGUAAAAGUAUUAUCUUGCAUACUCUAAUAUACUCAAAUUAUUGAGAGUAAAAGUAAAGGUAUGCGCAGUAUUGUCUUGAAAAAAAACAAUUUUUCAGGAUGGUUUUACAUUAAUAAUACUGCUGCACUUCUGUGUAUGUUGCAGUUUACUUCUAAAUAUGUUCAAGGUUAUUAAAAAGUUGCUGGACAUUAAGCUGUACUAUGCUCUAUUUUUUUUUAAAUACAGUUUUAUUUUUAUGGUUAACUGCCUAAAAAAUACGGGUUGCAAACCUGUCUACAUAUGGUCAAGACAAUAAACUACAUAAAAUUGCAGCUUUGUAUUUAAACUGCUAUGUGUGUAUUUUGUAGUUUUUCAUAUGUAUCAUUACAUUAUUCAAGUAAUCUCCAAGCCAGUACCUGCAUUUAAAGUUGUAAUCCGACAAAGGACGCAGCAAACCAGUGUAACUUACCUGGACUCGGUCUUGGCUAAAUCUGAGGUUCAUCACCGUCUCCUCCAUUAUGAGUAAAUCAUAAAAACAAAAACGAGCAAUUCUGUGCAAAAAAACUCUCGCGAUGGCGAGGCGGCUGUGGCCCUGUCCCAAAUGGCGCACUUCAUGUGGACUUUCGGUCUUGUGGACUUAAAUUGCGCAUGCUCGCCGAGUCUACGAGUCCGUAGGCCGUCCCAUUCAGCAUUUUAAUGCUCUGUUGUGUGCUCAGCAGCGCCUCCUUUGUACCCUUGAAGCGGUAAAUGCAGGCUUCGCACACAAUAGGUUUGUUUGAGAUGCUCCUUGCCUCGCCUGAAAUGUAGGCGAGAAUAGGCGGCUGCAGUAAGGGGAGGGGUCAAAAAAGACCUUUGAAGUCGGACACUUACAGAAUCUCGCUGUUUUGUCGCCUUCAAACGUCAGCAAUGGAGGAGAUCGCGUUCACGUUUUUUAUCGCAGACGAAGUGAAUGUAAUCGAAAUACCACUGUUUUGUCAUUAUGUGCAUCAAUUCCUUUGUUCUGCUGAACACAAAGGAUGAAAUUUAGAAGAAUGUUUGCAAACAAGCAGGUUUCUGCCACCAUUUCAUGUCCAUAGUAUUUUUCCAUAUGCAAGUCAAAGCUGUUUUGUAGCAAACAUUCUUCAGAAUUUCUUUCCUUGUUUUAAACCAGACCCUGACACUUCUCAGAUGAAACCACUCAAAGAUGAGGCAUAAUGGCUAAACAGUCCAUUUAAUGGAUUGAUUUAUUAAUUCACACAAACAUACAAUAGAAUAAAGUGAAAAUUACAAGAAGGAAGAAUUCUAAUUAAGAGAAAAAUAAAAUAAACA